GAAGCUUGCUUCUUCUGAUGGCGACCGGCGCACGGGUGCGUAACGCGUAUCAAACCUGCCUCAUACUCGGGGAUAGCCUUGCGAAAGUAAGAUUAAUACCCGAUGUUGUUAUGUUACCGCAUGGUGAUAUAACCAAAGAUUUAUCGGUAUGAGAUGGUGAUGCGUCCGAUUAGGUAGUAGGCGGGGUAACGGCCCACCUAGCCUUCGAUCGGUAGGGGUUCUGAGAGGAAGGUCCCCCACACUGGAACUGAGACACGGUCCAGACUCCUACGGGAGGCAGCAGUGAGGAAUAUUGGUCAAUGGACGAAAGUCUGAACCAGCCAAGUAGCGUGCAGGAUGACGGCCCUCUGGGUUGUAAACUGCUUUUAGUUGGGAAUAAAAAAGAGGACGUGUCCUCUAUUGUAUGUACCUUCAGAAAAAGGACCGGCUAAUUCCGUGCCAGCAGCCGCGGUAAUACGGAAGGUCCAGGCGUUAUCCGGAUUUAUUGGGUUUAAAGGGAGCGUAGGCGGAUUAUUAAGUCAGUGGUGAAAGACGGUGGCUCGACCAUCGUUAGCCAUUGAAACUGGUAGUCUUGAGUGCAGACAGGGAUGCUGGAACUCGUGGUGUAGCGGUGAAAUGCUUAGAUAUCACGAUGAACUCCGAUCGCGAAGGCA
rnacentral:rRNA from 1 species